AUGCAUGUUGUGAAAUUUGGCUACAGAUGGAACAUAGGGGAUGGGAGCAGAACCAGGUUCUAGGAAGAUAGUUGGUUUGGCACAUCCCCCCUAGCAGUCCAAUUUUGGCCUAUUUACUCUGUCCGCAAUGAGCUUAACAAAAGUGUCAAUGAAGUUUGGGACGGUCAAUGCCUAAAACCCUCUUUAACAAAAGCAUUACCUUUACUGCCGAGCCGGAUGCCCUGA
rnacentral:rRNA from 1 species